rnacentral:sRNA from 1 species
UCUUUUAGUUUAUAGUGCAUCAUCCAGAGAAGUCAGGGCAGGACCUCAAGCAGGGCAAGGACCUGGAGGCCACGGAGGGGUGCUGCUCACUUCCUUUUCCUUCACUGCUUGCUCAGCCUGCUUUCUUAGAGUACUCAGGCCCACUCGUCCAGGUUGGCAGCAUGUCCUCUUCUCCCUCUCCUCUCCCCCUGUAAGUCUGGCCUGCCAACAUCAGUCAAGAAACUGUCAAGCUGACAUAGAGCUAGCCAGUACAAAUGGUGAGACUUAGAUUGGUUUCAGAAAUACACAAGAGGGUCUGACGUGGGUGUUCACUCUAAAACCCCCGAAAACAUCAUAUCCUGGACUCUGAGUCUUAUGACAAGAUCAGGAUAGCCGAGGCAGCUGAGAAAAACACAGAGAUGCUUAGCAUGGAAAAAGACCCAUCACAACAAAGGCUGACUUUCCUUAUCAGUGUGAACCCACGAACCCAGUGAGCACCCCCAAAUCUGCAUCGAGGAUGAUGCUGUGAGUCACGGCAUGACUCAUGGCUCCCUGACCACCACAGAACAGAAACAAGAAUAAUUUACUGCCUAGGCCAAAAGGACCUGAAAGAGCUUUCCCACCCACCACACGAGUGGCGCAUCAGAUUAGGAGUAAGGCGCCAUUCUUUCUUCUUCCUCAAGUGGAUUAGUUCUCCCUUUUGCAUCUUCCCCAGAGACCCAAGGCCAGAUAAGCCUCUGGCUUUACUAAUAAUCUUCCAGUGAACCGGCCUGUCCCUGUACCUGCCUACUCAGGCCCCUCCUGCAUGGCAAUCUAAACCAGAAGAAUGCCUCAGCACACAAAAAUGUACUUCAUCACUCCUCAGAGCAAGAUGGCUUCUUGGAUCAAUGUUUUAUGCCUUCCCUCCCUUGACCAUGACACUAAACAGACUCAUAAUAAACUGUCUCUAAGUGAACAAGCAAGAAAUUAUUCUCAGGCCAAGACACUUUGUUCUUCAAAGCUCUUUCGCUCUUGUGCUUAUAAGAAUCAAAGUCCCAGAGACCACAUUUAGGAGCACACGGAAGAGUCUGUCUUAACAGAGGGUUGGUGUGCAGGACCCAGGGCUUCUACUUCCCUCUGGAGGCUGGGGUACUGUUUGGGGUCACACGGCAAGGCCUUCUCAGGAGCUAGGAAAGGCUUGCUCUUAAGUUCUUUUUCUCCUCCUGAGCUGUACCUGACACCUGACCGGCUGUCUUUCAAAGUUUAACCCUGCCGCAAUGUGAGGAUUAAACCCUCCUGAAGCAGGAGGUUGUCUGGCAUCUGGAUUUUUUCUCUUUCUGUAGACAACACUGUGAAGAAUGGCCUCAUACAUCCAUCAAAUGUACCCUCCUUUAGUAACAACAGGAGGCAACUGAGAGGAACAGUCUUACCUUGUUAAUCUGUGUUUCCCACACUGAUAGCACUAAAAGCAGUAAGAAGGUAUCCCUCUGCUUAGGGCUUGAGUGUCCCUCAACAACCUUUUCACGGCGAUGAGGCCAGUGGGAACCAUGGGACACCUUGAUUCAACCUUAUGCAGAGGCUGCCCCAGUGUGAAUGCAGAAUCCUAGGUCAUUUGCAUGAUGUCAUGGGUGAAGAAUAGUUAGGUGGUCAGUAUUUUUCUGUGGAGAAAAGUACACCCUAAUGACAGACAGGAGAGUUGCUGCUUUGGGGAAUGGAGCCCUGAAACAGGGCACCCGUGUUUCUUCCUUCAUUGAGAUUUCUUUGCUGUCUUCAUAACUCUGCAAGGAAAUGUUGAUUGAAUUCUGACUUUAAUCUUGUAGAUACAGAGAUGCUGUCUGAAAUGGCCUGAGGGGAGACACAGAGCCUAGGCAAGUCUAUGUUUGUCGAUAGAAGGCUGAGCCCCAAAAGCAAAAGUUGAAACAAAAAACCUAAACCAAACCUUGAAAGGUAGAGCUUAAGCAGAUAGAAGUCACAAGCUUGAUGCUUUGUAAGGUUGGAGCUGAGGUUUCUGAGCUCUACCAGGUCUUGAGGGAUGGGAUAUUUUCCUGCAGGGAGAUAAAAUAGUGUCUGAAGCAUGGUCAGCUCAGUGGGAACAUUUUAAAAACACAAAUUGAUAAUUUAUUGUUUUUUUAAAUUGACAACUCAUUUCAAAAUUAAAUAUUUUAUUCAAAAUUUGAAGUGACAUUCUUUUUUAAAGCUUAAUUAAUCUAAACUGUUAUCUGACUUUUCAACGUAAGAGUUUGUCACUUAUGAAGUGGUAUUUUUCAGGAGUUUGUUUCAGAGUAAUUUGGUAGGAAGAAAUGGACCAUAAGCAAUUCCUGGCUGAGAACUGUCCAAGCUGGAUGAUGCUAGGGACUUCCCUUAAGAGGCGGAGUGCAGGAGAAGACAAAGCUGCUCCCAGGAAGUGCACUGGGGAACAGCAGAUGUGUCUAGAGCAUUGCCGUGCACUUGUUCCCCGAGGUCAAAGGUGACUCUGAGUAUUAACGAGAAGAUGCCUGAACUGACUCGGCUGCAGUCCUGCAGAGAACAACUCCACACGCGUGCCUGCUCUCUGCUGUCUCACUGCUUUCCCCUCCCCCUUUCUAGGUGUUAAAUUGCCAGAAGCCAUCAGCCUUUGGCUGCAACAUAGCAGAGUUCAAGAAGGUAAAAGUUGCCAAAGGUGAAGGGGCUCUGGUCAAGCAAUCACCAAUGGAAAUGGAAAGGUGAAGCACACUCCUUCACUGCCCUCCUUGGUGAGCUGGGUGCUGGGACAAACUCCUGGGAAAGAAGAGAGCAUCAGACACAAUGCACCAAGCAGCACAGACGCAGAGAUCUGCUCUUUUCUUCAUAAGAUGACGUUGAUGCCUUUUGCCAAGACCUGCUUCUAUGGCACACCAGAAAGUAUUACCAGGAGCUGUAUUGUUUUAUAUGUCUCUUUUUGUUCAUCCUCUUAAAGAUUAAAACAUUUUAAGGAUAUGAAUAGCUUGAAAUGAACUAAACCAGUCAUUGUUAUUACAGAAGAACUGCCCAGAAUCCAAACAUGACUCCAUUAAAUACAUUGCUGUGUCUCCCACCAUAACUUGUCUUCUAUCUCUCACCUUAGCUUGGAACCCCACCUGCAAGCUCACCAGAUGAAGUCUUCCCAGUUUCCUUCUACUCUGAUGCCUUGGGUUUGGAUCCCAGCACAGGGCACAUGUGAGGAGGACCCUUUGACUAGUAAGGGAACUCUUGUAUCCAGAACAUGACUUUUUAAUUGCAGAUCACUGAAAAGGGGAGAGUGAUAAACAAAUAAACAAACAACAACAACAACAACAUGCUUCCUCUGGCACACCACAGGCUAAGACUGACUCCAGCAAAGUUUAGGCACCUAUUCCAGUAGCUAGUAGGCUCCAACUAUUGAGGGUGUUUCAAACUGCAUGAAAGCCAAGGACUGAGCCCUCUGGUGAGCGCAGAGUUCCCAGUCCCCUGUCCCAAGUUAAGCCUCCACCGGAUUGCGCCUUGCAGACAGGAGAUCAUGAGAAUCUUCCAGGCACAUCCAUAGCAGAGAAACAGACAGCGAGUGAGCUGAGUGUCUUCUGGGUGGAUCACCUGGAAAGGCCCAGUUUUGUGAAGAAUGUGAUAAAGUUAGUAAAAGUGACUUUGGAAAAAGAAUUCACCCAAACACAAGUAAACAAACAACCUGGAAAGCUUGAAUUUCAGAAGGAAGCCAAAGCUUUGCCAACAGUUCUUUGUCCUGCUGCACUGAGUUGCAGGAAAGCUCCAGCGGACUUGGCCCUGGGCUCACAACUGAGCUGGAAAAGACAUGGAGCAUUAUUUAAUUUUUUCUUUUUAUUAGUUAUUUUAUUUAUUGGCAUUUCAAAUGUUAUCCCCCUUCCCAG